AAUGGUAGAUACUUUUAACCCUUGUGUUGUCUUCGGGUCAAAUUUGACCCGUUUUCUAAAUGUCUAUAUCAGAAAUAUGCGUUUCUUCAUAACUACCUAAUUUGGAUUACCCCAAAAAUAACACAGAUGAUUCAAUACAACGCGCUGCGCAAGUACAACAAAAGAUCGGAUCUCUACUUUCAU